rnacentral:rRNA from 1 species
CAGCCUAUGGGAGGCAGCAGUGGGGAAUAUUGCACAAUGGGGGAAACCCUGAUGCAGCGACGCCGCGUGAGUGAAGAAGUAUUUCGGUAUGUAAAGCUCUAUCAGCAGGAACGAGACAAGACGGUACCUGACUAAGAAGCCCCGGCUAACUACGUGCCAGCAGCCGCGGUAAUACGUAGGGGGCGAGCGUUAUCCGGAUUUACUGGGUGUAAAGGGAGCGCAGGCGGCGUGGCAAGUCAGAUGUGAAAACCCGGGGCCCAACCCCGGGACUGCAUUUGAAACUGCCAUGCUGGAGUGCCGGAGAG